UACGUAGGUGGCGAGCGUUGUCCGGAUUUAUUGGGCGUAAAGCGAGCGCAGGCGGUUUCUUAAGUCUGAUGUGAAAGCCCCCGGCUCAACCGGGGAGGGUCAUUGGAAACUGGGAAACUUGAGUGCAGAAGAGGUGAGUGGAAUUCCAUGUGUAGCGGUGAAAUGCGUAGAUAUAUGGAGGAACACCAGUGGCGAAGGCGGCUCUCUGGUCUGUAACUGACGCUGAGGCUCGAAAGCGUGGGGAGCAAACAGGAUUAGAUACCCUGGUAGUCCACGCCGUAAACGAUGAGUGCUAAGUGUUGGAGGGUUUCCGCCCUUCAGUGCUGCAGCUAACGCAUUAAGCACUCCGCCUGGGGAGUACGACCGCAAGGUUGAA
rnacentral:rRNA from 1 species